rnacentral:rRNA from 1 species
GAUGAACGCUGGCGGCGUGCCUAAUACAUGCAAGUCGAGCGAACGGACGGGAAGCUUGCUUCUCUGAUGUUAGCGGCGGACGGGUGAGUAACACGUGGAUAACCUACCUAUAAGACUGGGAUAACUUCGGGAAACCGGAGCUAAUACCGGAUGAUAUUUUGAACCGCAUGGUUCAAAAGUGAAAGACGGUCUUGCUGUCACUUAUAGAUGGAUCCGCGCUGCAUUAGCUAGUUGGUAGGUAACGGCUUACCAAGGCAACGAUGCAUAGCCGACCUGAGAGGGUGAUCGGCCACACUGGAACUGAGACACGGUCCAGACUCCUACGGGAGGCAGCAGUAGGGAAUCUUCCGCAAUGGGCGAAAGCCUGACGGAGCAACGCCGCGUGAGUGAUGAAGGUCUUCGGAUCGUAAAACUCUGUUAUUAGGGAAGAACAUAUGUGUAAGUAACUGUGCACAUCUUGACGGUACCUAAUCAGAAAGCCACGGCUAACUACGUG